UACGGGGGGGGCAAGCGUUGUUCGGAAUUACUGGGCGUAAAGGGCGCGUAGGCGGCCUUCUAAGUCGGACGUGAAAUCCCUCGGCUUAACCGAGGAACUGCGUCCGAUACUGAAAGGCUUGAAUCCGGGAGAGGGAUGUGGAAUUCCAGGUGUAGCGGUGAAAUGCGUAGAUAUCUGGAGGAACACCGGUGGCGAAGGCGGCAUCCUGGACCGGUAUUGACGCUGAGGCGCGAAAGCCAGGGGAGCAAACGGG
rnacentral:rRNA from 1 species